ACACGAGAGAGGAGGUGGUCCAACGGUGAAUUGCUAUAGGACUCGUGAGGUGGCUGUCCGCUAAGGACCACCCAACCGGACAUGGUUUGGCCGGCUGCGCAACACGGCUGACAUCGGCUCUGCCGGUGCCGUAGACGCGCGGUGUGGUCGGCGAAUACCAGGCAGUCACCCGGCCCCCGGAGCUCUCAGGACCUCGUCCGAUCCUGAGCCUGUGCUCGCUCGGCGAACGCAGGAGCCGCCCGGGGGUCGUCCUAU
rnacentral:sRNA from 1 species